ensembl:lncRNA
GCAGAACAGAUGAUCUUCACUCUUGGGAGCUGGAACCAGCAGGAGCUUGUUUAAUUCUGAAGGAAUGUGUGGGUUCCGCCCGCCCAGCAGAGCAGGCCCCGGCUUGACAGAGGGCCAUGGAGCCACGGGCCAGCAGCUACUGCCAAGCAGGGAGGGCUCUUCUCUUGCUGCUUCCUGGAUGCCAUGGAUUGAGUAGCUUUCCUCCGCCAUGCCUUUUCUGCUUUGGAGCCAACUGACCACAGACUGAACCCUCUGAAACUGUGAGCCACAAUAAAUCUCUCUCCUUUAAAUUUCAAUUGUUGGGUAUUUUGUCUGGAAAAUGGGAAUACAACAAAUAUAGGAAAUUGGUACUGAGAAUGGGGUCAUUGCUGUGACUGUACCUGACCAUGUAGAAGCUUUUGAAACUGGUUUGUGGGAAGAGUUUGGAAAAGUUUGGAGAUGCAGGCUAGAGAAGCUCUAGCAUGCUAUAAGCAGAGCUUGAGGGGAGAUUCCGAUCAGAGCUUAGA